AGAGGGCGUCAGGACAAGGAAGGUAAUUUUUUGUAUCUCAGGUUUAAAGUGCCAUUUGUAGGGAAUUUCAUUCGGUUAAUCUAGUAUUCUGCUCUUUUAAUUAUUUGAUCUUUGCAUCAGGUUGCACUCCUCUCCAUUGGGCAGCUAUUAGGGGUAAUCUAGAAGCUUGCACAGUCCUAGUAAAGGCGGGUAAGAUGGAGGACUUGUUGGUCACUGAUAGUAGUGGCCUUACACCUGAACAGCUUGCUUCUGAUCAAAAUCACAGACAAGUUGUUUUUCUCCUUGGAAAUGCUAGAAGGCUGCUUGAAAAACAAUGUGACGGGAACAGCCGUGUUGGACGAU